UUGUGCAUUGAUGGUGGAGGGAAAAGGCUGAAGAGUUUUUUCUGUUGUGGAACUCAGAUAGACUUCUUUCAUUUGAAUUGCUCAUGAUGUAUGCCAUGAAGUUUGAUGUAUGUAGCAUAAAAUGUAUAUGAAUAAUCAAUGAGGCAUAAUGUAAUGCUUAUGUAAAAUGCUUGUUUUAAUAUGUAAAAUGUGCUCAUGAUAUAUAAAUAUUAAUGGAAUGAAGUGUAUGAGAAUGUAGCAUUACGUA
rnacentral:lncRNA from 1 species